UAAAUUUUAUUUUAAAAAAAAAAUAAUAUUUACAUUAUUAAAAUAUAUAAUUUUAUAUAAAUUUAA
rnacentral:tRNA from 1 species